UACGUAGGGUGCAAGCGUUAAUCGGAAUUACUGGGCGUAAAGCGUGCGCAGGCGGUUUUGUAAGUUUGUCGUGAAAUCCCCGGGCUCAACCUGGGAAUGGCGAUGAAGACUGCAAGGCUAGAAUCUGGCAGAGGGGGGUAGAAUUCCACGUGUAGCAGUGAAAUGCGUAGAGAUCGGGAGGAACACCAGUGGCGAAGGCGGCUACCUGGACCAGCACUGACACUGAAGCACGAAAGCGUGGGGAGCAAACAGG
rnacentral:rRNA from 1 species